AGGACAGUAUCUGCUCCGGCAGAGCUGUACCUUUAGUCUGGAAAUGCAAGCAAUCAACCGCUUGGAGCCGCUUCGGACCGAGACGGAAGG
rfam:Carboxydocella sporoproducens DSM 16521 genome assembly, contig: BR84DRAFT_scaffold00032.32